rnacentral:lncRNA from 1 species
CCCGAUCCAGCUCUGCAGGGACCGGCCAGCCCUGGAAUCCAUGGGCAGAUCUCUCCCAGGCAAGGCUUUGGGGUAUUUCCAUGAGGCACACAGGGGACCUCAGCAUUUCACAGUGACAACAGGACUGAGGUGUGGACCUGCCUGUGCAAAUCUCCCCAGCCAGCAGCAGGUAAAUGUUCAGGGGCUGGAGCAGUCCCAGACCCAGCUAGAAGAAGGAAAU